UGGGGAAUAUUGGACAAUGGGCGCAAGCCUGAUCCAGCAAUACCGCGUGUGUGAAGAAGGCCUGCGGGUUGUAAAGCACUUUCAAUUGUGAAGAAAAGCUCAUGGCUAAUACCCAUGGGUCUUGACGUUAACUUUAGAAGAAGCACCGGCUAACCCUGUGCCAGCAGCCGCGAUAAUACAGGGGGUGCGAGCGUUAAUCGGAAUUACUGGGCGUAAAGCGUGCGUAGGCGGAUUGUUAAGUCAGAUGUGAAAGCCCCGGGCUCAACCUGGGAACUGCAUUUGAUACUGGCAAUCUAGAGUGUAGUAGAGGGGGGUAGAAUUCCUAGUGUAGCGGUGAAAUGCGUAGAUAUUAGGAGGAAUACCAGUGGCGAAGGCGGCCCCCUGGACUAACACUGACGCUGAGGUACGAAAGCGUGGGUAGCAAACAGGAUUAGAUACCCUGGUAGUCCACGCCGUAAACGAUGUCAACUAGUCGUUGGAUCCUUCGGGAUUUAGUGACGCAGCUAACGCGUGAAGUUGACCGCCUGGGGAGUACGGCCGCAAGGUUA
rnacentral:rRNA from 1 species